rnacentral:lncRNA from 1 species
AGACUCCAUCUAUCCAUAUGAGCUGCUGCAGAAGAAUAUUUUGCCUGCUGGAACCUGCUGUAUCUACUCAAGAGUGGAAGUUUUCACAGAGAUAUUUGCUUACAUUCCAGUGUAAAGCUUCUUCUUCAGAAGGCAAGAUGGACAGGUUACUCACAGUGAUCAAAGUUUUUAAGACUGGAGUUUCCUAAUUUUGAGAUUUCUCUUUUGAUAGACACCACUACUUGCACAUGUAACAUCAGUUUCUCAUCUUAUCCCUGUGAGGGGACUGAAGCUUGAAGAAAUAGUACGAUGAUAUUCCUCUGACUACUGCUAGUACUUCAGUGAAUAAUAAACCAUCUUUUGCCUUCUGCAAGUACAACAAGUGACAAGCUAAGUUGUUAGCUUAUAAUAAUUUUGGCAACGAGGAUGGAACACAGCCCAAAGACCUGGCCUUCUGAGGAGAAAGUGAAGGAUCCUACAAGCUGAUUAAUAGGAUUUGCUGAAAGUCCAUGGGAACUGGUAGCUAACAUGUUGACUAAAAUGUUUGUAAUUGGUAAAUAAAUAUUCUUCUAUUA